rnacentral:tRNA from 1 species
GCGGGAUUAGUUCAGCGGUAGAACGUCUCCCUUCCAAGGAGAAGACGUCGGUUCGAGUCCGGCAUCCCGCA